UACGGAGGGGGCUAGCGUUGUCCGGAAUUAUUGGGCGUAAAGCGCGCGUAGGCGGUUACUCAAGUCGGAUGUGAAAGCCCUCGGCUUAACUGAGGAAGUGCACCCGAAACUGAGUAGCUAGAGUACUAAAGAGGGUCGCGGAAUUCCCGGUGUAGAGGUGAAAUUCGUAGAUAUCGGGAGGAACACCGGUGGCGAAGGCGGCGACCUGGGUAGAUACUGACGCUGAGGCGCGAAAGCGUGGGGAGCAAACAGG
rnacentral:rRNA from 1 species